rnacentral:rRNA from 1 species
GCCAGACUCCUACGGGAGGCAGCAGUGGGGAAUAUUGCACAAUGGGCGAAAGCCUGAUGCAGCAACGCCGCGUGAAGGAAGAAGGGUUUCGGCUCGUAAACUUCUAUCAACAGGGACGAAAGAAAUGACGGUACCUGAAUAAGAAGCCCCGGCUAACUACGUGCCAGCAGCCGCGGUAAUACGUAGGGGGCAAGCGUUAUCCGGAUUUAUUGGGUUUAAAGGGUGCGUAGGCGGUCCGGAAAGUCAGCGGUAAAAGCCGGGGGCCCAACCCCGGCGAGCCGUUGAAACUGUCGGACUAGAGACGGCGAGAAGUACGCGGAAUGCGCGGUGUAGCGGUGAGAUGCAUAGAUAUCGCGCAGAACUCCGAUUGCGAAGGCAGCGUACCGGCGCCGGACUGACGCUGAGGCACGAAAGCGUGGGUAUCGAACAGGAUUAGAUACCCCGGUAC